UUACGGGAGGCAGCAGUGGGGAAUUUUGGACAAUGGGGGCAACCCUGAUCCAGCCAUUCCGCGUGAGUGAAGAAGGCCUUCGGGUUGUAAAGCUCUUUCGGCAGGAACGAAAAGGUUAGGGUGAAUAAUCCUGAUUGAUGACGGUACCUGAAGAAGAAGCACCGGCUAACUACGUGCCAGCAGCCGCGGUAAUACGUAGGGUGCGAGCGUUAAUCGGAAUUACUGGGCGUAAAGGGUGCGCAGGUGGUUAUUUAAGACAGAUGUGAAAUCCCCGGGCUCAACCUGGGAACUGCGUUUGUGACUGAAUAGCUAGAGUGCGGCAGAGGGGGGUAGAAUUCCACGUGUAGCAGUGAAAUGCGUAGAGAUGUGGAGGAAUACCGAUGGCGAAGGCAGCCCCCUGGGUCAGCACUGACGCUCAUGCACGAAAGCGUGGGGAGCAAACAGGAUUAGAUACCCCGGUAGG
rnacentral:rRNA from 1 species